UUAUCCAACAGGCCAGAGACACACCAUGGUGAUUUUUGAUUUUUUUGCAUAACUAUUGAAACCCAUGAGCAGAAAAUCUUCGAUUAGAGCAGUGAAAUAACUUCAAUGGACUUCAAGAAAUAUUUACUCUGAGUCUCUAUGGAGUUAUAUUCCUCCAGAGGUACUACAGCUCAAUUUUUCCUGCAACCACAUUGAUAUAGAUAUUUAUACUCCAAUGACAACAUAUGUAAAAUUAAAGUGACUGCUCUUGAGGAGCAUUAAAAAAAGCAAUGAAAUUAAUGUCAUGGGGGUAUAUGGCUUGUAAGGAGCUUCUGCUUAAACGUGCAAUACAACAAAAAGACUCCAACCCCUGUUGUAACAAGCUGCAGAAUUGCAUCCAAGACCCACUAACAUCAUUGUGCCAAACACUAAUCUUAACAGCACAGGAACACUACUAACAGGAUUGCUAUUAGCAGGGUGGACACAGAAAAGGCAACUGAUAAUCCAGUUUCUCUGACAGGACAAGGGUGUCCUCUCCCACCUGAAGCUGUGGCCCAGCACUGCCCCAACAGCUUGUCACCAAGAGAUUGUAUUGUUCUCCAUCCAUUUGAGCUGUUUGUAUGAAUAGGCCUUAAACUGUUCCAGCAAAAACGAGCCUGCUCAGCUUUGAGCAUUUACUUUUUAUUAACUGAGCUCACUUGGUGCUUCUUUACCCAUUUCAACACAAACUGUUCGCACAGAAGAUUGGUGUAGGCAGCCCCUGUCACCUGUCAGAGCUGUCAAUGCAGAGGUUGCAUUCCUGAUGUAGCAUUGGCAUGUCUCAUAACAUGUAUCUUUACCAUUAACAAAAUUUCAGACAUUUUUUAAUAGAGCAAAACUUAUUACAAUGAAAAUUAAUUAAUCUAAUUUUAUAACUCCACUGUGCCAAGCCUAUUAGAUAUCUCCAGACCUCUGUAAAAACAUUUGGAGGCUUCAAUUGUCCUCUGCAAAGCAUGGGAAGCAGCACUGUCAGGUCUGUUCUGUGGUCUUUGUCCACAUGUUCUGUUGUUAAUCAACCCUCCCUGCCCGUCACAAAAGUGCUUGUUAACAACAGUGCACACUGGGCUGCAUGCAGACAGGUUAGACAGUUUUCCAGUUUUGCUUCAGCUUUUCUUCUGACAGAUACUUUACCUCAAAACUGACAGCCUUUCCCCAAGGUGCAGCACACACAGCCAUGCCUCUACCCUUCUGAGUGGAUUUCUCUCCACCCUGAGUUUUAGAGAUGCAGCCCCACAGCUCUUUGCUACAGCACAUCCUUUCUUAAGCCCACACCUCGGUGAGAAACCAAAGGGAGAGACGGGAUAUGUGCAGGUGCCACCCUCGCAAGUGACUGAUCUGAGAGAAACUUUUUAUGCAUCCUUCCACUCUUACCCACCGUUCCCACCUCCACAUUUGUUCUCCUUGAUACAUCCAUCCCCAGGAGACUUUUCACCCUGCAUGACUUAAUCCUGUUUGGGCUUUGCCCUGCAGCCAAGUAACCCACUGCCUCCAGAACUGUGCUGUACAAACAGGUAAUUAAUCUCUCCCUGUCACAUAAAAAACAGCCAAAACUGGUAUAGCUAUCAAUUAUAAGAAGGCAAAGUACUAGUAUGUUUGCCUGUAAGUGUAUUUUACACUCAAAAACAUAAAACAGGCAUUAUUAUUUCAAAGAACUGUAUUUUCUCCUGUUUCACCAGGCAUCAGUACCAGUGUCUGGCAAAAGGCUGCUGGCAUAUAUAUUGUAAAAGGCAGAAAGAAUAACAUUCCAGAGGCAGCAAGGAGAGGACAGGACAGGUUGUAUGAAGUUAUCAGCACUCCAGCAAAUGGUGAAAUGUUGGAAGACACAGAGCCAAAUUAAUAACUUCAAGGGCAUCAGCUGGGUACAACAACCAUUAGAAAUGUACCUGAAUAAAAUGACACAACACAAGUGAUAGAAGAUGAUGAAGAGACACUUCAGUAAACAAUGACUGACCUUAAAGAGACAGAAAAGCUCAACCAAUGGCUUAUUCUAAUUAAGAAGGAAGCACAACCAAUGCUGCUACUCCACACCCUGGAUGCAACAGCCCUCCCCAUGAGCCUGGUGAGGUUCAGGGCUCUCACAGUGCUACAACAGGCUGUAAGGCCACAGCCUGCAGGAAGCAGAGGGUGAGGACGGAAAAACUGAGUUCCUGGACAGAGCAAAAUUCAGGAUGGUACAAUUCCUACACAUAUCUCUUCACCCCAGGUAAUCCUGGUGCUAAGUUAGACAUCACAAUGGAAGAUCUCAAGCACCAGAGCAACAGACAUAAAAGCAGUCGCAGAGAAGAAAUUGCUAACAGAAAGGUGUCAGUCUAGUCUUCUUUUCUACAUUCCUAAACCAAACUUAGUAGCCCAAAUAGCAGUUAUUCCACAUGUUAAAACUACACAGCCAUAGGCAGAGGGCUAAACACCAUGAACGAUUUAGAUCCUGAGAAGAUGAUUGCUACACUCUGUGCUACACUAACCUGUGCUUUGCCUCCUCUUUCAGUCAACUCACAUCUCAAAACAUCUUGACAACCACCUUGGACAGAAGGAAAACCUUAUCCCUUACCUGGUGCCGUGCUGCAAGCAGGAGCAGGGACAGCAGAGCUCUCUGAGCACAUCAACCAGCCCACUCAUUCUCUUGUGCUCACAAAUUCUCUUCUUAUCUGGCCUCACUUGCAGAUAAAACUAAGCCUCUACAUACAGACAAAUCCUAAAUAUUGACAGCUUGUAAAAGGCUUAGUACUGAGGAUUGCUAUGAAGUAUUAUUUCACGGCAUAAUUUGCUUUUCAGAGCAACCCACAUUUCACUAACGGGAGAAGCUAUCGGGUACUCAGAGAAAGCUUCCAAAUCACAGCUGGGGAGGGAAGCACAGCACAGGGCACUGGGAACAAGCACUGCUGGCAAGUGCCAGGCAUCUGCCAAACACCUAAGAAAAAUUAUGUACCCCUGGAUAUGAAAGUAUAAAGCCACCAGCAUUCCCAAAACACACAGCGUUAUGCACCAUGUGUGUGAGGUUCGUUCUGAGUUUUAGGAGUAAACAAAAAUUAAAAAAGCCUCUCAUGGAAUAAAAGCUACUUUUGACUUUGAUCAGCCUCUCAAUUCAGUUUGCUGCUUGUGUGAGCACACAGGAUGGAGUAGAGCAUAGACACAAGUGAAAACCUGAGAAUAUUGAGACUGUUUAUUUCAGCAUCAGUGCUGACCUGGAGCCCACAGCUGACUUUACAGACACUGCUUGAUUUUCUUUCAUAAUUAUAACAGCAAUGUUUCAUGAUUUUCCCAUACUCAGCCUUUUAUUAGCAAAUGUUAACACCUAACUUCCAGAAACAGACCCUUCAUAAAAUGGAUUUUCCUAAGCUGAUUAUUUAAUAUGUCAACUUUGUUGUUUUAAUGAUAGUAAAUAUUUUUUUCCUUCACAUUUCUUGGAAAGCCCAGAUCAUUCAUGUCUGCCUCACUGACAUUCCCAGUCCUGGCAGCUCAUCACAUCCUCGGGUGCUUCUGAAUAACCUUCUCUGUCCAGAGGGAGUAGAUAUUUAGCAGCAACAGAUCUUAUACUUUUGGAACCAUGUGCUUCAGAAAUUUGCCACCAAUUUGACAAAUAAAUUAUAAAGUACCUCA